AUAACGGUCCUAAGGUAGCGAAAUUCCUUGUCGGGUAAGUUCCGACCUGCACGAAUGGCAUAAUGAUGGCGGCGCUGUCUCCAGCAGAGACUCAGUGAAAUCGAAAUCGCAGUGAAGAUGCUGUGUACCCGCGGCUAGACGGAAAGACCCCGUGAACCUUUACUGCAGCUUGACAUUGAACUUUGAUCUUACUUGUGUAGGAUAGGUGGGAGGCUUUGAAACCGAGACGCUAGUUUCGGUGGAGCCAAUCUUGAAAUACCACCCUGGUAAUAUUGAGGUUCUAACUCUGUCCCGUUAUCCGGGACGAGGACCAUGUCUGGUGGGUAGUUUGACUGGGGCGGUCUCCUCCUAAAGAGUAACGGAGGAGUACGAAGGUGCGCUCAGCGUGGUCGGAAAUCACGCGUAGAGUAUAAAGGCAAAAGCGCGCUUAACUGCGAGACCCACAAGUCGAGCAGAUACGAAAGUAGGUCUAAGUGAUCCGGUGGUUCUGUAUGGAAGGGCCAUCGCUCAACGGAUAAAAGGUACUCCGGGGAUAACAGGCUGAUACCGCCCAAGAGUUCAUAUCGACGGCGGUGUUUGGCACCUCGAUGUCGGCUCAUCUCAUCCUGGGGCUGAAGCAGGUCCCAAGGGUAUGGCUGUUCGCCAUUUAAAGAGGUACGCGAGCUGGGUUUAGAACGUCGUGAGACAGUUCGGUCCCUAUCUACCGUGGGCGUUGGAAAUUUGAGAGGAUCUGCUCCUAGUACGAGAGGACCAGAGUGGACGAACCUCUGGUGUACCGGUUGUGACGCCAGUCGCAUCGCCGGGUAGCUAUGUUCGGAAGGGAUAACCGCUGAAAGCAUCUAAGCGGGAAGCCUACCUCAAGAUAAGAUUUCCCUAGGACUUUAUGUCCUCUAAAGAGC
rnacentral:rRNA from 1 species